rnacentral:rRNA from 1 species
UACGUAGGGACCGAGCGUUGUCCGGAAUCAUUGGGCGUAAAGAGCGUGUAGGCGGCUUGCUAAGUCCUGCGUGAAAUCUCGGGGCUCAACCUCGAGACGCCGAUGGAAACCCUCCAGCUAGAGUCCGGAAGAGGAGAGUGGAAUUCCUGGUGUAGCGGUGAAAUGCGCAGAUAUCAGGAAGAACACCCGUGGCUAAGGCGGCUCUCUAGUACGGUACUGACGCUGAGACGCGAAAGCGUGGGGAGCGAACAGG